GCCUCUAUAGGUCAGUGGCAGAGCGUUCGUAAUGAGAAGGUCCAUAGUUCAAUCCUGUGUCGAGGUU